rnacentral:lncRNA from 12 species
AAAUUUUACAGCAUGUUAGGAAACAGUUCUUUUCUAAAGAAGAGUCCUAGGAAUGUCAUGACAAAAAUGGUUUAAAAGCCUAGGAUGCUGUUUGCCUGAGAGCUCCCUAUAACUGAUAUUCUUGGUCACAGAUCUAACUCCUUUUUUUUUCUUCCCUGAGUUUACUCUUUUUCUUGGGUGUGGGUCUACACGAUCCUCCCUUUAAAGGGACAGGCCAACCUUUGGAAUAUGACUUGAAAGGCUGGAAGAGUAAUCACUUGAGGCAUGGAUUGGAAGCUGAAAUGCACAGAGAAGCAACAAGUUUCUCACCUGAAACCCAUUUAGCAGGAAGCAUGGGCAUCUACAUUAUUCACUUUUGAAUAAUCUCAUGCUAACCAGACAUGGUCCUGCAAGUAGGAGCAGAAAUAAGCCAAAGAGGCAGGAUGCCAUAUUUUUAUUUGAGAGGAAGAAUUUGGCUAUGAGUUAAGUCUUACCUCUUGC